AUUGAACGCUGGCGGCAUGCCUUACACAUGCAAGUCGAACGGCAGCGCGGACUUCGGUCUGGUGGCGAGUGGCGAACGGGUGAGUAAUACAUCGGAACGUACCCUGUUGUGGGGGAUAACUAGUCGAAAGAUUAGCUAAUACCGCAUACGACCUGAGGGUGAAAGUGGGGGGCCGCAAGGCCUCACGCAGCAGGAGCGGCCGAUGUCUGAUUAGCUAGUUGGUGGGGUAAAGGCCCACCAAGGCGACGAGCAGUAGCUGGUCUGCGAGGACGAGCAGCCACACUGGGACUGAGACACGGCCCAGACUCCUACGGGCGGCAGCAGUAGGAAAUUUUGGACAAUGGGGGCAACCCUGAUCCAGCAAUGCCGCGUGUGUGAAGAAGGCCUUCGGGUUGUAAAGCACUUUUGUCCGGAAAGAAAUCGCGCUGGUUAAUACCUGGCGUGGAUGACGGUACCGGAAGAAUAAGCACCGGCUAACUACGUGCCAGCAGCCGCCGUAA
rnacentral:rRNA from 1 species